GAUGAAGAACGUAGCGAAAUGCGAUACGUAAUGUGAAUUGCAGAAUUCAGUGAAUCAUCGAAUCUUUGAACGCAUAUUGCGCUCUCUGGUAUUCCGGAGAGCAUGCUUGUUUGAGUAUCAGUAAACGCCUCAACUCCCCUUUCUUUUUUGAAAUGGGAGCUGGACUUGAGUGAUCCCAACGCUUUUCUCACCGAAAAGUGGCGGGUUACUUGAAAUGCAGGUGCAGCUGGACUUUUCUCUGAGCUAAAAGCAUAUCUAUUUAGUCUGCCUAAAAACAGAUUAUUACCUUUGCUGCAGCUAACAUAAAGGAGAUUAGUUCUUGUGCUGACUGAUGCAGGAUUCACAGAGACAGCUUCGGCUGGCCUUUGUAAACUCGAUCUCAAAUCAAGUAAGACUACCCGCUGAACUUAAGCAUAUCAAUAAGCGGAGGA
rnacentral:misc_RNA from 1 species